AUGUCCUCCAACGUCAUGGAAGCCGGAGCUACACAAACCACCGAGCAGGGCCAUGGCGGAAGGGAGGCUGGCAGUGCAGCUAAAGACGAGGACUCAAAGCUGUAUGAGUUCAAGGAGCAGCUCCUGCUGCUGUCGACUCUGGUUGCAACGGUGACGUACGUUGCCGGGCUGAACCUUCCCGGGGGAUCCUGGGAGCAGGAUGACCCGGGAGGGCAUAUGGCCGGCGACCCGAUCCUUCGGGAUACCCACUACCGCCGGUACCUCGCCUUCUACUACUGCAACGCCACCGCCCUCGCCGCGUCGCUCGUGGUUUCCCUCAUACUCAUCAUCCUGCCGAAGAAGAAACAAUACUGGACACUGGUGCUGAGGAUGGUGAUGGUGCUCGACCUACUAGGCCUCAUGGGAGCCUAUGGUGCCGGGAGCUGCCGUGAUGCAUUCACGACUGUCUACGCAGCGGUAGCCUUCUUCAUUUUGGUAUUGAUCAUCAUUUAUGUUUUCUUAUACGUCUUGCUCAAUCGUGAUGAUGAGGUCCACCCCAACUCCACCCCCACUGCAACUCCAUCUCCAUCUACGCCUCCAAUUCCUACUCUGCCCACCCCAAGUCCAUCUCUAUCUCCACCUCCAAUUCCCACUCUGUCCACCCCAACUCCAUCUCCAUCUCCAUCUCCAAUUCCCACUCUGUCCACCCCAACUACAUCUCCAUCUCCAUUUCCAAACCCUGAUUCCUAUUCCUACUCUCACUCCAUCUCCAGUUCCAGCUUGAACCGUGACUCCAACCCCAAACCCAAGUUCAACUUGAACCCUCACUCCAACCCGAAACCCGAUUCUAACUCGAGCCCUGACUCCGACAUCAAACCCAACUCCAUCUUCAUCUCCAAGUCGACCUCCUUCGUCGAUGCCGUGAAGCGAGUCCAGGCAGAGAAUGAUGUGGUGAGGUCACUCGCUGACGUCAAGAUGCAAGCAGAGAAGGAGAAGAUUGAUGUGCUGAUGUUACUUGCAACCUUCGCAGUCACCAUCACAUACGUUGCUGGGCUCAGUCCACCUGGUGGGUUCUGGAGCAGCACCCAAGAUGGACACCGUUUGAGUGACCCGGUGUUACAAGCCCGUGGCCGGUACCGUGCCUUCUUCGUUUGCAACACCACUUCGUUUGCCGUGUCCCUGCUCAUCAUCGUGUUGCUCUUGGAGAAGAAACUGCUCAACAAGGAGCUGCUCAAGAAGGAGCUGCUCAAGAAGGAGCUGCUCAUUAUCACAGUUCGGUUCGCCCUCUAUGUGUUGAUUGCUGUCGCUUUGCUGGGCCUCAUGGUAGCCUAUGCUGCUGGGAGUUGCAGGGAGACUGAUAAUACUGUCUUUGUCCUUACCCUCACUGCUGUGGUUCCUAUCUGUGUGUGCCUCCAACUGGCAUUUGUUACUUGCACCAAUUGUUGGAAAAGACCCGCAACCAAGUUUGGUGAUGUCUUGGGAUGGUUCAAGACUCCUCGAGGCACCUCCACAAGCACGGACAUCCAGCUACACAUUCAUAACACCCGCUAUCUUGUUAUGCUCCUUGCUACUCUUGUGGUGACCAUCACUUACCAAGCAGGACUAGAUCCGCCUGGUGGCCUGUGGCUAGAUAGCCAGGAUGGGCAUACAAUCGGCCACCCGGUGCUCCAAACGACACAUCCUACUCGAUACCAAGUGUUCUUCUACAGCAACUCCGCAGCUUUCGUCACAUCCUUGGUCGUCAUCAUGAUGCUCCAGAGCAAGUAUCUGCUCACACGGCACACACUUGAAGCAGCCCUAGUACUGGACCUAUUUGGCCUCAUUACUGCCUACGGUGCCGGAAGCACCAGGGACGUAAACGCGUCCUUCUACAUCAUCGCCUUGGCAGGCAUUGUCCUCGUCUAUGUCAUUGUCCAUAUCACAAUAAUAGACCAUGCCCCUGAGCCAGAGGGUGGCGAUGUUGCAGUAAAGCAUCUCGAUGACAAACGCAAGGUGCUACUGUUGGUUGCUAUCUUGGCCGCUACCCUCACAUACCAAGCUGGUCUCACCCCGCCUGGUGGCUUCUGGUUAGCAGAUGACCAAGGGCAUGGUCGUCGUGCGGGCUUCCCAGUCCUUCACGACAAUUACCCUCGUCGUUACCAUGCAUUCUUCUAUUGCAAUGGGGCGAGUUUCAUGGCAUCCGUAACACUCAUCCUUCUUCUUGUCAAUCCAAAGCUAUACAGGCCAGGUAUACGUUGCUAUGCGCUCUAUGUGUGCAUGCUGGUGGGCAUGGUUGGCCUCAUGGGUGCCUAUGCCGCUGGAAGCUCCCGGCAUCUUAAAACCUCCAUCUAUGUAUUAUCCUUGGUUGUCGCAGUGUCAGUCUUCAUAGCCUUGCUGGUACCCCUUUUCCGGUACAUCUGCAAAGACAACAGCACCAACAAUAUCGCCAUUCCUGCCACCGCCACCACCGCCCCCAACAAUACCAGCAAUGCCGCCACCACCAUCAAUGCCACCGCCACCGCCAACAAUAUUGCCGCCGUCGCUGCUGCCACUUCCACCACUACCAUCAUCACUACCAAGGAGAACGAUAAACUUGAAUACUUGAUGUUGCUAGGAAUCUUGGGCGCAAGUAUGACAUACCAGACUGGCCUAAAACCACCGGGCGGCUUGUGGCAGGACAACACCAAUGGACACUCUGCUGGCAACCCCAUCCUCCACGACAUCAACAAGCACCGGUACAAUGCUUUCUUCUACAGCAACUCCACUUCCUUUAUGGCCUCAAUCGUGGUUGUCGUCAUGCUUCUUCCAUUGACAAUUCAAAAGAAGUUUCACGGUCACAAUCUGCCACUCUGGCCGAUGCACACGGCCAUUUUACUGGACAUGAUUAGCCUCCUGGUGGGCUAUGCAGCAGGCAGUACUAGGAAGUGGGAAACCUCCAGACAUGUCAUGUUCCUCAUCAUCCCUGUGUUGCUCUACAUUGCGGUCUAUGCAUUAGCGUCAAUCUUCUACCACAGGAAGAAACAACGUGUGUUGGAAAGGUCAACCCUGAUUCUACCCCAACUGGCAGAGUCAAGUGAUUCUUUGUCAGGUCAAAUUCAGUAG
rnacentral:rRNA from 1 species